AGACAUCCACUUUCCUUCUCAGAUGACACCAAAACGGAGUGCAGCGAAGACGUGAGUGAAGGAGUCAAUCCUAAAAUUUCCGCUACUCCACUUCAAACUCUUUCACCUUCCACAAAAUAAAAAUAACAAACACCUGGCUCUAAAACCACCACCACCACCACAACUACCGCCGCCCACCACUGACAGUGAGACAGUCAGCCCUAGCCCCCAAUUUGACUGAUCACUGAUGGGCGAACAAACCAAAAUCCAACCUCAAUCACAACCAGUCCAAUCAGAAUCCCAGGCUCUCCCCCAAAUCGAAGCCCAGGUCCAAACUCAAUCACUGUCUCAGCCAUUCAAUACCCCCACCACCACCACCUCGGAAUUAACCACUGUUCCACCACCAAUCACAUCUCCUCCCGCCAAAAUCCCUUCCCGUCCUCGUAAAAUCCGUAAAGUCUCACCCAAUGCUGCUGCCACCACCGCUAACGACCCUAAUUCUUCCCCAACCUCCACCACUACCACAACUGAAACACCCAAAAGCCCUGCCAUCAAAACCCCAAGAACAAAAACGUCCCAACAGCUAGUAAUCGCCACUCCGCGGAUCGUGGCAAGAUCUCUAACAUGUGAAGGUGAGCUUGAAUACGCAAUUCACUAUCUCCGUAACGCCGAUCCACUCCUUGCUUCCUUAAUUGACAUCUACCAGCCUCCUAGCUUUGAUACGUUCCCCACUCCUUUCCUUGCUCUCGCUCGCAGCAUUCUUUACCAGCAACUUGCUUUUAAAGCAGGGUCUUCAAUUUACACGCGCUUUAUUUCGCUUUGUGGUGGAGAGGCUGGAGUUUUACCCGAAACAGUUCUUGCUUUGACUCCACAACAGUUGAGGCAAUUUGGGGUUUCUGGGCGUAAAGCGAGUUACCUUCAUGAUCUAGCUAGAAAGUAUCGAAAUGGUAUUUUAUCGGAUUCUGCGAUUGUAAAUAUGGAUGAUAGAUCGCUUUUUACAAUGCUUACUAUGGUAAAUGGGAUUGGUUCAUGGUCAGUGCAUAUGUUCAUGAUUUUCUCGCUGCAUAGACCGGAUGUGCUGCCAAUUAAUGAUCUUCAAGUGAGGAAAGGGGUGCAGUUGCUUUAUAAUUUGCCGGAGUUGCCACGCCCAUCACAGAUGGAUCAGUUGUGUGAAAAAUGGAGGCCGUAUAGGUCGGUUGCGUCAUGGUAUCUUUGGAGAUUACAAGAGUCAAAAGGGUCACCUUCCAGUGUGAUAGCAGUGUCUACUAGUGGUAAUUUGACACAGCAACAGCAGGAAGACCAGCAGCAGCCUCAGCUUAUUGACCCAAUAAACAGCAUUCUCAAUCUUGGAAGAGAUGUUUCUGGUUGAUUGAUUUAAUGGAAUUGGAAAACUGAUCUUACUGCCUGCUAGACUCCCUACCCAACUGUGAUGAGAUGGUCGAUGGACUACUCUUGAAUCACCUAAUGUGGCGGGCACUCGAUUUCACAAGGACCCAGGCUAGCUGGGAUACAAACCGUGGUUGGCAGGGGCCUGUGCUUGGGGACAAUGAUUGGGACCUAGGAUGAGGAGUUAUUCUUCUAUCCAGCAAUCAUUUGAGGUGCUUCCAGAGCUGUGCAAUAAACGUAGACAUCACUAAUGAAAAGCCUGGACAUCCAAGACAUCAAGAGAUAUUUGUACUUGCCUCUUGCUUUGAAAAAUAAAUAACACUAGAUGCGUGCGGUCAAGCUCUGUUGUCUUUGUAAAAGAUUGGAUUGACAUCAGAACUUUCUUAUAGGACAUCGUAGGGUUAGAAGAGCUUUCAGUGUUUUUGCCUUUUUGACUGUGGCUGGCUAUUUGUAUCCUGGAAAUACAAUCAGAACCUUCAUCUGUAGAGGCAAUUGCUCUUAUUAAUAGACCACCACAAUCUGACAAUGUACAUAGAAAUCCUGGACAAAGUUUUAUAUGUCCAGGGUAUUAAAUGAAUCAGAUUGCAGAGGUGCAUCAGCUAAA